rnacentral:misc_RNA from 1 species
CGAAAUGCGAUAAGUAAUGUGAAUUACAGAAUUCAGUGAAUCAUCGAAUCUUUGAACGCACCUUGCGCUCCUUGGUAUUCCUUGGAGCAUGCCUGUUUGAGUAUCAUGAAAUCUUCAAAGUAAAUCUUUUGUUAACUCAAUUGGCUUCUACUUUGGUAUUGGAGGUCUUUGCAGCUUCACACCUGCUCCUCUUUGUUCAUUAGCUGGAUCUCAGUGUUAUGCUUGGUUCCACUCGGCGUGAUAAGUUAUCUAUCGCUGAGGACACUGUAAAAGGUGGCCAAGGUAAAUGCAGAUGAACCGCUUCUAAUAGUCCAUUGACUUGGACAAUACUUUUAUGAUCUGAUCUCAAAUCAGGUAGGACUACCCGCUGAACUUAAGC